CGGAAGAUGUAACGGGGCUAAACCAUGCACCGAAGCUGCGGCAGCGACACUAUGUGUUGUUGGGUAGGGGAGCGUUCUGUAAGCCUGCGAAGGUGUGCUGUGAGGCAUGCUGGAGGUAUCAGAAGUGCGAAUGCUGACAUAAGUAACGAUAAAGCGGGUGAAAAGCCCGCUCGCCGGAAGACCAAGGGUUCCUGUCCAACGUUAAUCGGGGCAGGGUGAGUCGACCCCUAAGGCGAGGCCGAAAGGCGUAGUCGAUGGGAAACAGGUUAAUAUUCCUGUACUUGGUGUUACUGCGAAGGGGGGACGGAGAAGGCUAUGUUAGCCGGGCGACGGUUGUCCCGGUUUAAGCAUGUAGGCUGAUUGUCCAGGCAAAUCCGGAUAAUCAAGGCUGAGGUGUGAUGACGAGGCACUACGGUGCUGAAGUAACAAAUGCCCUGCUUCCAGGAAAAGCCUCUAAGCAUCAGGUAACAUCAAAUCGUACCCCAAACCGACACAGGUGGUCAGGUAGAGAAUACCAAGGCGCUUGAGAGAACUCGGGUGAAGGAACUAGGCAAAAUGGUGCCGUAACUUCGGGAGAAGGCACGCUGGUGUGUAGGUGAAGUCCCUGCGGAUGGAGCUGAGACCAGUCGAAGAUACCAGCUGGCUGCAACUGUUUAUUAAAAACACAGCACUGUGCAAACACGAAAGUGGACGUAUACGGUGUGACGCCUGCCCGGUGCCGGAAGGUUAAUUGAUGGGGUUAUCCGUAAGGAGAAGCUCUUGAUCGAAGCCCCGGUAAACGGCGGCCGUAACUAUAACGGUCCUAAGGUAGCGAAAUUCCUUGUCGGGUAAGUUCCGACCUGCACGAAUGGCGUAAUGAUGGCCAGGCUGUCUCCACCCGAGACUCAGUGAAAUUGAACUCGCUGUGAAGAUGCAGUGUACCCGCGGCAAGACGGAAAGACCCCGUGAACCUUUACUAUAGCUUGACACUGAACAUUGAGCCUUGAUGUGUAGGAUAGGUGGGAGGCUUUGAAGCGUGGACGCCAGUCUGCGUGGAGCCAACCUUGAAAUACCACCCUUUAAUGUUUGAUGUUCUAACGUUGGCCCCUGACCGGGGUUGCGGACAGUGUCUGGUGGGUAGUUUGACUGGGGCGGUCUCCUCCCAAAGCGUAACGGAGGAGCACGAAGGUUAGCUAAUCCUGGUCGGACAUCAGGAGGUUAGUGCAAUGGCAUAAGCUAGCUUGACUGCGAGCGUGACGGCGCGAGCAGGUGCGAAAGCAGGUCAUAGUGAUCCGGUGGUUCUGAAUGGAAGGGCCAUCGCUCAACGGAUAAAAGGUACUCCGGGGAUAACAGGCUGAUACCGCCCAAGAGUUCAUAUCGACGGCGGUGUUUGGCACCUCGAUGUCGGCUCAUCACAUCCUGGGGCUGAAGUAGGUCCCAAGGGUAUGGCUGUUCGCCAUUUAAAGUGGUACGCGAGCUGGGUUUAGAACGUCGUGAGACAGUUCGGUCCCUAUCUGCCGUGGGCGCUGGAGAAUUGAGGGGGGCUGCUCCUAGUACGAGAGGACCGGAGUGGACGCAUCACUGGUGUUCGGGUUGUCAUGCCAAUGGCACUGCCCGGUAGCUAAAUGCGGAAGAGAUAAGUGCUGAAAGCAUCUAAGCACGAAACUUGCCCCGAGAUGAGUUCUCCCUGAGACUAUAAGUCUCCUGAAGGAACGUUAAAGACGAUGACGUUGAUAGGCCGGGUGUGUAAGCGCAGCGAUGCGUUGAGCUAACCGGUACUAAUGAACCGUGAGGCUUAACCUU
rnacentral:rRNA from 1 species